rnacentral:lncRNA from 1 species
GCCGGAGUUGCUCAGAGAGACUCCGACUGCGACUGCGACGAAGGUAAUGUGAGAGUGUUGAAAGCGCGAGAUGGAGAUUGGGAGCUUCAAUUUCGUCUCUCUGGGCCUUCUCUCUUUCUUCUUCAUCAUCCUCCAGUGGUAAACUAUAUUGACGAAUUAGAGGAUUUUGUGGUGGUGGCCCUGCGAAUGCUACACCUGACAAACAUUCUAGCUCCUGCUACUUCUAGUGUCUGCAAAUACAAGAAGCUGUCUUAACAACUCCGAAGGAAGUACAUGAUUCUAAAGUUUCCAUCUUUAUUCCAUGACAAACAGAUCCCAAAGAAGAAUGCAUUUUUGCUAAUUAUCUUUGCAAGUUUUGGCUAGAUGAAAAAUUGUCCAUUCUUGAUCAAGGAGAGACAAAGUCAUUUUCCUGUUGAGGACAGUAGAGGAGUUUCUGUUGCAAGAAACAAGGAGUUGCUUCGGCGAAGACAAGGUCUCCAAGAUCAGCACUCUUCAAAUGGUUGAUUGAGAGUUGAAUUCCAGCGACCCUUUUGAAACCAGAAGCCAUGUGAGCUCCCAUACUUGCUAAAGACUCGGCUAUCAAAGCAGAUACACCACCGUGUAACACCUUGAAAGGCUUUUUGAAAGGAAAUUGAAAAUCUUUAUCAGAAUUUGGGGUUAGAACAAAGGGCCAAUGAUCAAAUUGAAGAAGAAUGAAACCUGGCAGCAGACGGGAGAAACAGGAAGGCGACCUGUGAUACGUGUCGGAGAUAAUUCAUCGAACUCGAAACCCAACAUGUGAAGUGGAGGGUCUAUAGCUUUGGUGUUGGACGAUGCAGAAUCCAUUUUUGUGCUCUGUUGCAGAGAGAGAGAUGGAGGUAGGUAGGGUGGGUGUGUUAGAGAUGAUAAGAGAGUUUGAGAAAUGGAUUGAAUUGGUGGUAGUUGGGAUUAACGUCAAGUGGAAAUUUCGAUGAAAUGGGUUUUUUGCGUAGGUGCGUGAAAGACGUUUACUUGACUGAGACCUUUUAUGUCCAAAAACACUUUAUAAUUGGGCGUUGGUGAGAGUCUUUCGGACCAAAG